rnacentral:rRNA from 1 species
CGGGUGCAGCAGGCGCGAAAACUUUGCAAUGCGGGAAACCGUGACAAGGGAACUCUGAGUGCCCGUAAAAUCGGGCUGUCCAUCGGUUUAAAAAACCGGUGAAGAAAGGGCCGGGCAAGACUGGUGCCAGCCGCCGCGGUAAUACCGGCGGCUCGAGUGGUGGCCACUAUUACUGGGCUUAAAGCGUUCGUAGCUGGUUUGUUAAGUCUCUGGGGAAAUCUUCCGGCUUAACCGGAAGGCGUCUCAGGGAUACUGGCAGACUAGGGACCGGGAGAGGUGAGGGGUACUCCAGGGGUAGGAGUGAAAUCCUGUAAUCCUUGGGGGACCACCUGUGGCGAAGGCGCCUCACCAGAACGGCUCCGACAGUGAGGGACGAAAGCUGGGGGAGCAAACCGGAUUAGAUACCCGGGUAGUCCCAGCUGUAAACGAUGCGCGUUAGGUGUAUCGGUGACCACGAGUCACCGAGGUGCCGAAGAGAAAUCGUGAAACGUGCCGCCUGGGAAGUACGGUCGCAAGGCUGAAACUUAAAGGAAUUGGCGGGGGAGCA